UUUUAUUUUCUGUAGAUUAUGAUACUUGACUAUAAAUUACCUUAUCCCAGUGGAACUGCAACUGCUGUUCUUAUUAAUGGAUUUCAUACACCUAAGGGGGACAAAAUGGCCAAGUAUGCAAUGACUUUAAUAGGAACUUGUUUUUCCAGCUGAAAUGUAGAAAUGAAAAUCUAGUUUUCCCUCAAAAUUUCAGGAAACAGGUCAAUGGAUUCCUGAGAUUCUUCUCAAUAAGUUUCAUCUGGAGUUUCUUUCAAUGGUUUUACUCUGGUGGAGAUCAAUGCGGAUUUGUGAACUUCCCCACCUUUGGAUUGAAAGCUUGGAAACAGACGUACGUAUGUGCUUGACAUCUAGUUUUCAGGCUUAACUGAAUGAUUUCUCCAUCAUAAUUAAUAUAACCAAUUGAAUUUUGCAGAUUUUAUUUUGAUUUCAGCAUGACUUAUGUUGGAGCUGGAAUGAUUUGUUCACACCUUGUGAACUUGUCUUUGCUUCUUGGAGCUGUUCUGUCUUGGGGAAUUAUGUGGCCUCUAAUUAGUGAUCGCAAAGGAGCUUGGUUCCCGGCCACCUUACCGGAGAACAGCAUGAGGAGCCUCAAUGGAUACAAGGUUUGUAAAUAUGUAUAAAGUCUGCAAUUAACGACUAGGUGGAUAAUUUGGACCUCUACUUUUGCUCAUUACACCUUGAAGCAUUGUUGAAUAAGUUGUUAUCAUUUUACUCCAUGUUUUCAGGUUUUUAUCUCCAUCGCUCUCAUCCUGGGAGAUGGCCUUUACAAUUUUCUCAAAACACUUUUUUUCACUGGUAGAAGCAUAUAUGCUGCACUGAACAAAAAGAACCCCGUGUCAUGUAAGUUGAAACUUUUAUUGCGAAACUAAUUAUUCUCUCUUAUUAGUUGACUCUUUUCGUUUCUGUCUGUUUCUUUUCUCCGGCAGUUUCAGAUAGCAAGAAUCAGCCGGUUGAUGACCUUCAGAGAAACGAAAUAUUCAUUAGAGAGAGCAUUCCCUUAUGGGUAGCUUGUGUUGGGUACAUGGUUUUCUCUGUUAUCUCCAUCAUUUUAAUCCCACUUAUGUUCCCUGCACUGAAGUGGUACUAUGUGCUCGUCGCAUACAUUCUUGCACCAUCUUUGAGCUUCUGCAAUGCCUAUGGUGCUGGUCUAACUGACAUGAACAUGGCAUACAAUUAUGGCAAAGUGGCUCUCUUUGUGCUUGCUGCAUUAUCUGGUAAAGACAAUGGUGUAGUCGCUGGACUUAUUGGAUGUGGACUGAUCAAGUCCAUUGUAUCUAUAUCCUCUGACCUCAUGCAUGAUUUCAAAACAGGCCACCUAACCCUGACUUCCCCUCGUUCGAUGCUUCUUAGCCAAGGAAUCGGGACUGCUAUCGGUUGUGUGGUAGCACCUCUCACGUUUUUCCUCUUCUACAAAGCUUUUGAUGUAGGGAAUCCUGAUGGGGAGUACAAAGCUCCUUAUGCCUUAAUCUACAGGAACAUGGCAAUCUUAGGUGUUGAAGGCUUCUCUGCUCUGCCCCAACAUUGCUUGCAGCUCUGUUAUGGUUUCUUCGCCUUUGCUAUACUUGCCAAUUUAGUGAGAGACGUCGCCCCUAAAAGCAUUGGCAAAUGGGUUCCUCUCCCAAUGGCUAUGGCCGUUCCUUUCCUCGUUGGAGCGAGCUUUGCAAUUGAUAUGUGUGUGGGCAGUUUGGUUGUAUACCUAUGGCACAAGGUCAACAGCAACAAGGCCAGUUUAAUGGUUCCUGCUGUUGCUUCAGGGUUGAUUUGUGGCGACGGAUUAUGGAUUCUUCCAUCAUCAAUACUUGCUUUAGCCAAAGUUAAUCCUCCUAUUUGCAUGAAUUUUUUGGCAACAAAGAUCUCAUGAAAUUUUCUCAUGCCUGAAACAAACAUGUUUGGCGCUUGCUGAAGAGUAAUACAAGUAUAUAGAAAUGCCAUAGUUAGCAGACUACUUUGAGAAUGUGACUAAUAGAAGAGUUUUGUCACAAUUGGGAAGAAUGACUAGUUAAUUUAAUUUGGUAUAGAAAGAAUAUGGAAUAAAUACAUUCAGCCUUGGUAGACACACAGCAGCUUAAAAUGUAAUUUGACCCUUAGAGGUAGCGAGGGAAGGGAAUGUAUUCUUAAGUGUAUGGAGCUAUAGUUUUUUAUCUGAUAAAUAAAAUUUGGGACAACAGAUCCGCAUCUUUACCAAAGCCCUGUUUAUGCCUAAGAGCUCUAGGGGGCGGAGAACAAGUGAAGAAUAAGGAAAUUAACCUCUAUCUAUACAAAGCAGUUUCACGAAAAAGUUUUUAAAAGUAAUGACUUUUUUCUUUUCCGGAAAAAACUAUUCAGGUUACUUUUAAAAAAUGCGUAAAUAGGUUUUAGUUUUUGAAAAGCUUGUGUAAUGCCGUACUCCCUUUCAAUUUAUGUGAACCUGCUUGAUUGGGCACGAAGUUUAAGAAAAAAUGAAGAAUUUUGAAAUUUAUGGUCCUAAACAAAUCAAAAAGGGGCUCAGAGUAUUUGUGUGGUUAUAAAAGCUUCUCAUUAAAGGGUAAAAUGAUAAGUUUAAGCUAAAUUAUUACCAAAUUUAAAAAGAAAUUAUUUUGUUUAGAAUAAACAGGAAAUAGGUUCACAUAAAUUAAAACGGAGGGAGUUUAACUUUUUCAGUUCCAAACAUUAAAAAAUAAAAAAAUAAAGUGGCUGUCUACCAGGACCCACAACAUUCUUUCCAUCAUUCUCGUUUGGAAAUGCCACUCAAUAAUAUAGUGAUCAUAGAAUUUUUGGAUUUCGAUGUUGCUCCACAUCCAGAUGAUGACAACAUGGUUGGAACUUCUAUUGAUCAGUGAAUAAAAGAAUCCACCAACGGUAGCAAUGAACCAAAAGGGGUAACUUUUGGUUCCUGGUUAGAAAUACUUAGAAUAGAUGCCUCCACCUGCAAACACUGCAUAUUGACGUGCUACAAAUGCUUUUAUUCCAGUUAGAUUUUUCUACAUCCUUUAAUCACUGAAACUCCAAUUGUCUAUUCUUGUCGUCAUUUUCCGUUGGAAUUUCCACCCUUUGAAAUUUCCCCAACAAGCAAAAAUUCAUCAGAAAAUUCUCUUCCUAAGGAAUCACUACAACAAUUCAACUGCCUCUUCACUAAUAAUGUGGGGUAAAAACUCAUCCGCAAGCACGGCGUUUACACUAAAACAACUGAAUUGUAGCCGUUAAAUAAUAGAGUGAGAAUUUUUAUUAUUGUAUAUGGGUAAAAUGGGGGGCAAUGUCUACCCCGAUUCCCCAAUGAGAAAACGAAGGGGAGCAUGGAUCCGCAAGAUUGUAACUGAGACCUGUCACGACCCAAAUCGAUGGGCCAUGACAAGUGCCCGAGUUCUACCUGCCGAACACCUCUAAGCAUACGUCUAAGAUAUAAACAUGAAAUAAGGGUAGGUCAUGCAUAACGUCUGACAAUAAACUACCGAUUCAUGUGAAUAAUAUACGCGGUAAAACAUGCCCAAAAGAGAUAUGUACAUAUGUAUACAGUAUACGAUAGGGCGAGCCGACAAGGCCACAUACUAUCCAACUAUACAUGACUGACUACAAACUUCUAAUAGAGUGUACAACUGUAUAAAGGACGGGACUAAGCCCAGUCAUACCUAUAUAUGUAUACAAAAGUAUAGUACCAAAACCUAAUAGAAGCUCUGGAUCAAAUGGAGCACACCAACUCUCGCUGAGCAAGGAUCCUAAGAAGGGAGACCGUCAGCCUAUCUACCUACACUUGCGGGCAUGAAACGCAGGCCCCUAGGCAAUAAGGGUGUCAGUACGAAUAAUGUAUUGAGUGUGUAAGGCAUAAAAAUCAGUAUAUAAAAGCAUGAAAGAAACAUGGAGUAAAGGAUUCGACCUGUAAGUCUGAAUAGCUUUGUGAAUCAUGAAAUAUUUAUAAUGUCAUGCAUAUGGGUAUAAAUGUCAUAUCAUGCAUAGGUAUAUGCGUACAUAACAUCAUCAAGCUUUUAAGGGCAACCCAUCAUAUCAUCUCGGCCUCAGUGGGUGAAAUCAUCAAAGUAUGCCAGCUGAUCAGAUGGUGGUGAAUAUAUAAUGACAUAACCUUUCCAUAUACCCCAUAUACAAAUACUAUAUGCCUAUAUAACUUUAUCUGAUCAUGGGUUAAUAUACAUGUAUAAAUAAAUUCAAUGCAUAAUGAAGUAAGUCAAUAAGAUCUCUCGGUAUGUCAUGAGACCCAUGAACAGGCGAUAUGAUAGUAGGACAUAUGGGGAAUCAAGAAUAGAAUCAGUUGUGAAAGUUGCAUGCUUGCUCGUUUCGUUAUAUCAUGUGGAUCAUGCCAAAAGGAAAGAAGGGAUAGAAUCAGUUGUGAAAGUUGCAUGCUUGCUCGUUUCGUUAUAUCAUGUGGAUCAUGCCAAAAGGAAAGAAGGGAUAGCCUUAACAUACCAUAUAGAAAUCUGUCCAAUAACAAUGCUAAACUCAGCUCCCUGCACCUUAAUCUACAACAACGACAGUGAAGCUCUUGUCAAGUUACGAAUGACUCUCAUUUAUAUAACGAAAAUAACCUAAUCUGUAAAAAAAAGAAUGGGCAACAUUUCCCUUGAUUUUACUGCGCCCUCAAGCCUACUAUAGGCAAGACAAUAACACAUACAAUCAGCAACUCUAAAACAACCUAAUUACAAUUCGGGACCUUUAAUAUAACAAAAACCCCAAAUAUACCAUAACACACCCAAUCAACAAGUUAUCAAGUAGCUUAAAACUGCAACAACGAGUGACCAAUCCACUACCCUACCACAUGUGGCAUUUCUCCAUGCCCUGCAUCCUCCAAAAUUCCAUAAAUCAGCAUCACAAGAGGCCAACAUGAGUGAACUAUAAAACAAUCCACUAAAAGUGGAAUAAAUCAAACUCACUGCUUCUGAUCACUGUCCCAUGAGUUCUAACUAUUAGAAAACAAAUUUAUCAACUUUCCUGGAUAUAUAAAAGCUUAAAUACAGCAAGUAGGUAUUUUCUUAACUAUGAAGUACCUUCCAAACUCAAACUACAUAGAAAGAGAGAGGCGAUAUAACGAUACUUACGUCGUAGGGAUCGUUCUAAUGUUAUCGCUUCUUGAUUUCGUACCCGGGAUGUUAAUCUUCUUUGAACCCUUGUAAAGAGAUUAAGCGUACGUUUAUGAUCUUAUUUUGGUCGUGGUCUGUGGAAAAAUGAAGAAAGAGACGACAUAAGGGAUAUAUAUAUAUAUAUAUAUAUAUAUAUAUAUCAACUUUUGAAAAGUCAAGAGGUGCUAGCUUGGCGCCCUAGCAUUGGCCCUUCUUCUGACGCUUAUAUCUAUUUAUCCGGAUGUUGUAUGAAUAAACGGUUAAGAGCGUUGAAAACUAUAUUCCAAGACCUUCAAUUUGGUAAAGACCCCAUAUAACACACAAAAUGUAUUACUCAAAAAGCUUUAUUACAAUGCAAAUCCUUAGUCGGAUUUUCCGCAAUUUAAAUCCGAUUUUUCCCAAACAUUAUAUUUUAUAUUGUAUAGUCAUAUUAUGACUUUAAACUAAUUUAAACCAUGAUUAAAAAGUUUUUAUUCAUUAUACGUCACCUUGGGACACACGGGGUGUAACUAUCUUUCCCUCUUGGAAAUAUUCGUCCCCUAAUGUUAAACUCCCAGAGAUCUAUAAAAAUUUUGUAGAGUCUCCUCUAUAACGGUACUACUACCAACCUGUCACACAGCAAACCCAACAAUAUAGUUACACCCCAUGUUUUCGUACGUAAGAGUAUGUUGUAAGUUAAUUGAUGAUAAGCUCAGAAAUGAAAUUAUCUUUGAAAAGUUUAUAAAGUAAGUUAAUCAUGUUACCGUGGAGGUUCCAAAAUUUAAGAUUAUGAAUACCAAGUACUAAGAGGGUUGGAAGUCUUAGAAGCUAAACGAAUUGAAGAAAAUAAGUUUCGACGAAAGUCAACAAGUUGGAAUGUUAGAACAUGUAAUUUUUGGACGAGACUAGGGUGUUUAACAUUAUAAGGAGGUUAUGUUAUAAGUUAUUUUAGUCGUAUGAUAGUCGUGUAUUAUGUUUUGAAGUUAAGCGAGUUAUGGAACAAAAGUUGGCAAAGGUCAUCACAAGUCACAUUCAUAAAUGUGCUAAAGAUUAGGUCAAAUGUAGCAGAGCUUUUAUCCAAAUAUACUUGGAAUUACAGUGUGAUCUACCUAAAUAUUGAAGAUCUCCGAGUCUAGUUUCUAACGCAUUAAACCGUUCAUCAAUACAAAAUUAGAGUAGAGAGAUAUUCACAUUUUCGUAAGACAGCGCAAACAGCUCCCAAUGGGACCCACUUAGGCGGUGGACGACCUUGAACAUUUUAAAGGGCUUGGACGGCUUAUUUUUGGUCAUUUCGACCAAGGACAGUUCCCAAACUCUCUGAACACCUCUCUAACAGUUCUCCAAGGUUCCAAGUUGAAUCCAAGGGGUUUUUACCUAAACAUAACCUCAAAACUAGCCUAAGUGAAGAGAGAGUAUUUAUGGUGUUGUGAUGGAUUUAAGGGUGCUUGUUGUUACACUCCAUAUUUUCAUAUAUGAAAGUACGUCAUAAGUAAAUUGAUGAAAUCUCGGAAAUGAGAUGUUACAUUCCGCAUUUUCGUACGUUAAAGUUUCGUCGUAAGUUAAUCGACGUAAGUUCGGGAAUGAGAUUAUUUUGGGAUUAUAAGUAUUAUGCUAUUUCAAACAAGUGAUAAGUAAAUUUGUGAAGGUGAGAGGGUAAGCGAAUCGAAGAAAAUGAGUUUCAUUGAAGUUUGAUAAUUUGGGAUAAAAUAUGGUCUGAGCUAUAAUACCCGAUAUUUAUGGACUAGUAUCAUACAAGGUACCACAUGACCAUGAUAGUAAAGUGUAUAAAGUGUGUUAAAAGCGAGUAGUAUUUUAAGUAAUUUGAUAUAAUUCUUAAUAAUGUGGAUAAUUGGGUAAUUAUAAAUUUUUAGUGGGAGAUUAAUUAAGUAAUUAAGCCAAUUAAGAUAUUUUAGAAAAGGCUAAACACUCCCAAACGUGGCAGCCAACCACCCCAACCUAAUGACUCCUAAGUUAUUAUGGUAAGGUGGCCUAAUUAGGGGAUUUUAGGCAAAGCUGAGUCAUCCUAGUAAGGCCCACCCCUAAAGGAAAAAAAAACCUCUCUAAUUCACCAAAAUUAUUUGCUCAUCUCUACUAAUUUAAGAGAGAAAGCUUCAGCAAAAAUGUUGGUUUGCAAUAGCAACGUAAUUGCUUCAAAUGUUCAUACGAAGACUAUUUAAUACUAUAACAACGUGGAAUUUGCGAUUCUAAGGGAGUACAGUGCAAUCUUUCUCAAGAAUAUCAUAUGGAUUGUUCCUUAUUUUGAUCUCGUCGUUAAGUGUUUUGUCGCGAUUGGCGUGUGUUAGAAGCAUUGUCAAGAGAAUCGGCUCAGGUAUGUUAAGGCUAAACCUUUCUUCAUUUUGGCAUGAUCUCGUAAUUACAUGUGUUUGAUAACGAGUCAUAAAGAGAAGUUCGUACUCCCGAAUUUAUAUACAUUAUCCUAGUCUCAUAAGUUACAGUAUUCCCCCUUAUAGGUACUUCAUAUUCAAUUGAGUAUCGUCUUUUUCUAGUCAAGAGAGUAGAGGGUCUAUAUAUAUACAGUAUUAUAGUAUUUUCACCACCAUCGAGCUAUAAUCAAUGGGCAGGCCCCUAUUGGGAAACCUCAAAUCAGAUGGUAAGUUAUAUACCGAGCCUACUUUAGUCGAGCGCCUACGAGCGAGCCCAGUUGGACGAGAUACAGAGCCUAGUAUGGUCAAGCACCUAUGAGCGAGCCUACUACGGCAGAGCAGUUACACAUAUCAAGCCUUAUAAGGCCGGACAACUAUUUUACUUACUAUAUUGAGAGAGUUGAGUCAAUAUCAGUAGGUAAGCAUAUAUUUAGAUUAUCUUUGAUGCCCAGUUACUUUCAGUUAUUAUAUUAUCAGUUCAGUUUAAGCUUUCAGUUAUUCUAUUGCCUUACAUACUCGAUAUAUUAUUUCAUACUGACGUCCCUUUUGCUAGGGAUGCUGCAUUUCAUGCCUGCAGGUCCUGAUUGAUAGUUGGACAGACCCUCCCAAUAGAUAAAGUCAAACAUCAGCUUGGUUGGUAAGCUCCACUUCCUCGGAGUUACCAGGUCUAGACCUUGGAGUCCAUUAUAUAUAUACAGGUUUGAUGGGUAGGUCGAGGCCUUAUCCCGACCAUGGUACCAUUUAGUUAUCUGUAGAAGCUUGUAGACGAGCUUGUAUAUUUUGUAUAUCAGUAGAUGUUCAUGGAGACUUCAUCGAUCUGUAUAUAUAUAUAUAUAUAUAUAUAUACAUACAUACAUAUACACAAGCUCGUCUGUAUAUAUACAAGCUUGUCUGAGGCCAUAUUCUGAAUCGUCUGAAAAUAACGCANNNNNNNNNNNNNNNNNNNNNNNNNNNNNNNNNNNNNNNNNNNNNNNNNNNNNNNNNNNNNNNNNNNNNNNNNNNNNNNNNNNNNNNNNNNNNNNNNNNNNNNNNNNNNNNNNNNNNNNNNNNNNNNNNNNNNNNNNNNNNNNNNNNNNNNNNNNNNNNNNNNNNNNNNNNNNNNNNNNNNNNNNNNNNNNNNNNNNNNNNNNNNNNNNNNNNNNNNNNNNNNNNNNNNNNNNNNNNNNNNNNNNNNNNNNNNNNNNNNNNNNNNNNNNNNNNNNNNNNNNNNNNNNNNNNNNNNNNNNNNNNNNNNNNNNNNNNNNNNNNNNNNNNNNNNNNNNNNNNNNNNNNNNNNNNNNNNNNNNNNNNNNNNNNNNNNNNNNNNNNNNNNNNNNNNNNNNNNNNNNNNNNNNNNNNNNNNNNNNNNNNNNNNNNNNNNNNNNNNNNNNNNNNNNNNNNNNNNNNNNNNNNNNNNNNNNNNNNNNNNNNNNNNNNNNNNNNNNNNNNNNNNNNNNNNNNNNNNNNNNNNNNNNNNNNNNNNNNNNNNNNNNNNNNNNNNNNNNNNNNNNNNNNNNNNNNNNNNNNNNNNNNNNNNNNNNNNNNNNNNNNNNNNNNNNNNNNNNNNNNNNNNNNGCCCACAGAUGAGAGGUGCGUUAUUUUCAGACGAUUCAGAAUAUGGCCUCAUCGGCCUAAGUUGAGGGUUACCCCUCCAGAGUUCACAGUUACAGAGUGGUAUGCUCAGGCCGAGUAUGGCACUAGGUGCCGGCCACACCUCUUUAGGUUUAGGGCGUGACAAACUUGGUAUUAAAGCAGUUCUGUCCUAGAGAGUCUACAAGCCGUGUCUAGUAGAGUCUUGUUUAUGGGUGUGUUGUGCACCACACUUAUAAGCAGGAGGCUACAGCGCAUUUGGGACUGUCACUCGUUCUUCUUACUCUAGAUCGUGUGGUAGAGCUCAAUUAUAAGAAUUUGAACUCUUAAACUCUAUUUUACUCGUAAUGAGACGAUACCUAUAACCAAAAGAUAGUUGGUAAGAGAUAGCAUGUGGCUGUGGAAGAGUUCAGUCAGAGGACCUCGAUUUUUCAUGAUGCGUAUGAUGAGUAAAUAUAAGGUCUUCAGUAGAUCAUGUGUGUACUAAGACGUGUAAACCUCUCGAUAAGGAGCCUUAAAAUAAGAAUAUCUAUCCACCCCUAUGGUGAAAGGCAAUGAGAGAUUCAGCAGGUAGGUACAAGCUUCAACAAGUAAAAGGAGCAAGAUGAGAAGGGUACGAGGUACCAAAGUAAUGAAGAUUAUUGGCAUUUUCAACUCAGGCAGAAAAAUUUAAGCAUUGUGAGUUACCUUCAACAAUAAUAGAGGUAUAUAUAAUUGGCCACAUCCAUCUCAGUUAUAUCCUAUGGGAGCUAACAUAUAUGGUUUUAGAGAAGGACGGGAUAUCAGGACCCGACUGGGGUUAGAGUAACCAAAAUUAUAGAUGGAUUGUUUGCGUUAGUUGAUAUUUCCGAAGGAUAUUGCAAAUGUGCCAAUAGAUCUCCUUGUGAGACACCCAGAUGGUGCACUCUAAAAUAGUACAGCUAGAUAUGAGUACUACAAAUAUAGGCAUUGGACGCCUUGAAGGGAUAAAUAUUAUCUUAGUGUGGCUCUUGUCCCUAGUAGAGAAAGAAUGUUAGGCAACCCGAAGAGCCAGUAGAUGGAGUAAGGGGAGCUAAAAGCAAAAGAAUGUCUUGUUAAAGUUUUCAGAAUAAAGUGAUAAAUAGAAAUAUUAGUAGAAAAAUAAGAAAAGAGAUAGUGAAGCAUUAUGAGUAAGAUGUGAUACAUGGAUGACAAGGGUAGAGUAUUACAGAAUCUAUAAUCAAGUGAGGGAAUAGGCGAGAAAUGACAGGCCUUAAGACAAUAUAAGAGUAUAGGCCAUAUGGUCAUAUCCUCAUUUCGAGAAAUAAGUUUGCGACUCUAACGUGAUUACCAGAAGGAAGAGUUAGACCUCCAGAGUAAUAGAAAUUAGUAUGAGCUGAUGAACAAGAUAAACUAAACAUGGAUUAGGGACCAAGUAAUUUGAUAAUAGUCGGCAUCAUGAGAAUUUCAGAUUGCGUCCGGCGAUAACAGAAUGGACAAAUAGAAGAAGAUUCAUGAGAAAUUCAGAGAAUGCUCAUUCAGGAAUACGCUUCCCUAAAGAAAUCAAUGUGAGCAAAGUUAAGCUUAAGGGACUGUACGGGCCAGUUAUACUAAGUGUUACCCUCGCGAGUAAGGAAUUUUGUUAUCCUUGGUACAGAAAGAUUACCACAAGGAGAGUAUGGGUCAUCGAUAAUGUGAAAAGACGCCAAUGAUGAAAAGGUAAAACAUCUAUAGGUAGAUCCUCGUGGCUCCAACUCUUAGUACUCCCCUAAAGGGGGGAUAUUGAGUGAUAUGACAUUAAGUCAGAAUUAAGUGGUUCUAGUAACUAUGGAACGGUAAAGGAAGAAUGCGAUAAAAAGGAGAAAGGGAUGAGAUUGCACUUAUUCAAAGCCUAUAGAUAUGCUACGAUUCCAGAACAUUAUGCAAACACGACGUCAAUGAGAGGAAGUAUGGGUUCCUGCCCAAGAUGUUAUUGAUAAAUAAAGAGCCAGUGCGAGAAGUAAGUUAAGACAAAUGAAAUGACCCAAGAAAGAUUACGCGGAAUAUUGAUAUGAGAAUGGACCAAUGAGUAGUUAGUAGUUGAUUCAGGAAAAACCUAGUUAUGGCUAGACAAGAGGAUAUAGACAAAUCAACAGAUCAUGAAAGAUAAACAUAGUGAACCCCAACAUGGGAAAUUCAGUCUCGCAGAUAUGACAUUGUAAUCCUUGAUAAAUAUUCAGAUAGUGUCACACCUCCUUUUUUACAUACCCGAAGGUGAUAUAAGAUAGUUUUUUCCAACUUGAAGUGACAAUCGAAACGAGAUUAUUUUAUUAAAUAUUCAGAGUCGUCACUUGGUAUAAUUUUAUGGUAUCCCAAGUCACCGGUUUAAAUCCCGAAUCGAGGAAAGAUUGACUCUGUUUUAUAGUCCGCGAACACAGAAAUCCUGGUAAGGAAUUCUAUUAAUCCGGGAGAAGGUGUUAGGCAUUCCCGGGUUCCGUGGUUCUAGCACGGUCGCUCAACUGUUAUUAUUGGCAUAUUAUCUGAUUUUUAAUACAUGUUUUAGCCUAUGGCUCAAUUUUAACUUUAUAACCGCUUUUAUUUAAAUAUUUUUUAGAAAGAUUCAACGUCAUCUAAAACACAUCUUGAACUACGUCAUAUAAAUGCACCUGCGGUCCACGACAUAUUUUAUUUAACGUUGUUGAGAUUUGAAUUUUGGUCACAUAAAUGCACACCCGAGUUUAGGAAAGUAAUUUAAAUUACGCGCCUAAAGCAACUACACAUUUCAAGUAAAUAAAGUAACAAACAUUGAAGUUUCGAUUUUUAUUUCUAACAAUAGGAGACCAUUCUGAUUCUACUGACCCACAAAAAUUAAAUGAUAAAAUACUAGUAGUAGUACAUAAAGCUUGAGACGGAUGGGGAAGUAUGCAUUUGUUUUGACGCAAUGGACCUUGUAGACUUAGACUUUAGAAGCUUUAUUAAUUGAAAAAUUCUUUCACAUAAGAGAACAAAAACCUUUCAUAUAUUCUGGACACUUUCAAGAAAAAGAUGAAGGGCGUUCUUAUUAAAGAAAAUCUAAACUUAAGAAAAAAAAACUUUAACAACAAAGCCUCUUGCUUAGAACUAUAAGAAUUUAAACUACUCAUGAAAAGCAUUUUAAAAAGAAAAUUAAACACUAGAUGAAAGUUCGGAUAACAUAGCUCAACAUAAUUAGAGGGUAAGAAAAGCAUAAGAGAAAUAAAGGAGCCAAAGAAUAAACUUAACAUUAAUCCCAACAACUAAAAAUAGCUUCAUGGAUUUAAUAGCACAUUUUACUAUUGUACCACACAAAAGACAAAAAUAGUGAAAGGAUGGUGAAGAAUAAACCUCAGAUGAGCUUCUUAAAAUUAGUGAAAGAUCCAAAAGCUACAAGCAGAUCCGACGACACGAACAAAAAUCGGAACCGCGAGUCAGCGAUCCGCAACUGAAUUCGCGGUCAGGAUCCACGAACCAAGAGCAAAGCUCGAACAACACCCCAACUCAGACUGAAAUCCAUUCUUAGAGAGCCAAAGUCCAAAAUCGAGAAGAAAAAAAAACAAGAUCUCUAUAUGUGUUUUUUUUUGGAUUUGAUUUACAUGGAAUUUUAUUUGUUUUCUUUGUUUUUUAACCUCUACUGUAUCUAUGUGUAUGUUGUGUAUUCAAAGAAGAAUAAAGGUAAAGGUCCAAAUAUGGAAAAUGGGUCAGAGGCGUUAGGUUCGAGAAUCAAAGGUUCAGCCGUUUUUUUUAGCUUUUUCAGAGAAGACGGCGCUGCCCCUUAUCCUUUUCUUUGUAUUAUUUUCGCUGAUGCUCAUUUGUUCUUCCAAAACGGUGGGUCAGAUGGGGAUUUUGGCGUUAGGUCACCAUUGUAAAGAAACGACUGCUUGUGAUUUUCAGUGUAUAUCUAUUAUAUAGGGGUAGGUAUUAGAUUAGGGGUAUGGGCCUAGGAAUUAUGGGCUAGGUCCAAAAUUAGGCCUAAAAAUGGGUUGCUCGAGCCCAAGUUUUAUUCUUUCCCCGCAAAUAAGACUAAAAAUGCUACCCUAUUUAUUAAUUAAUUUUACUUAAAUAAAAUAACUAUUGAAAUAAGACUGACC
rnacentral:lncRNA from 1 species